UACGUAGGGUGCAAGCGUUGUCCGGAAUUAUUGGGCGUAAAGAGCUCGUAGGCGGUUUGUCGCGUCGGCUGUGAAAGCCCGGAGCUCAACUCCGGGUCUGCAGUCGAUACGGGCAGACUUGAGUGUUGCAGGGGAGACUGGAAUUCCUGGUGUAGCGGUGAAAUGCGCAGAUAUCAGGAGGAACACCAGUGGCGAAGGCGGAUCUCUGGGCCUAACAUGCGCUGAGGAGCGAAAGCGUGGGGGAGCGAACAGGAUUAGAACCAUACGUCGAGACCA
rnacentral:rRNA from 1 species